rnacentral:lncRNA from 10 species
GUUUGGUUGCUUCCUUCAGUCCUUAUUAUACAGACCACUACACACACAUCUGACAGAGACUUUUCACCUUUUCAUGGUUCAAUGACUGAAAUUCCCAGAAUAAAAUUAAAACCACCCCAGCAUCAAAUUUGAGGUCAAAUAGAGGUGGGUUUGUAUCCCAGGUUCAUAUACUGUCCAGCAGUAUGGUCUCAGAAAACUGACCUCCUU